rnacentral:rRNA from 1 species
AGUGAACGCUGGCGGUAGGCCUAACACAUGCAAGUCGAACGGCAGCACAGUAAGAGCUUGCUCUUACGGGUGGCGAGUGGCGGACGGGUGAGGAAUACAUCGGAAUCUACUUUUUCGUGGGGGAUAACGUAGGGAAACUUACGCUAAUACCGCAUACGACCUACGGGUGAAAGCAUGGGAUCUUCGGACCUUGCGCGAUUGAUUGAGCCGAUGUCGGAUUAGCUAGUUGGCGGGGUAAAGGCCCACCAAGGCGACGAUCCGUAGCUGGUCUGAGAGGAUGAUCAGCCACACUGGAACUGAGACACGGUCCAGACUCCUACGGGAGGCAGCAGUGGGGAAUAUUGGACAAUGGGCGCAAGCCUGAUCCAGCCAUACCGCGUGGGUGAAGAAGGCCUUCGGGUUGUAAAGCCCUUUUGUUGGGAAAGAAAAGCAGCAGGUUAAUACCCCGCUGUUCUGACGGUACCCAAAGAAUAAGCACCGGCUAACUUCGUG